AUCGAUAGUUUGUCUAAAUGCUAGGGUAACACUAUACUUAUUGCUACUUUGUUUACAUUAUUUUUAAUUGUUUUUAUUUUGAUUUCAGGUGGAGUAUGCAGCCGUGGAGAACAUCACUACGCCUAUUGGUCUCGUCAUCAGCUGCGAAGUGGAAUCCUUGCGAGUGUCGGCGCUAAACUGGGACUGCAGGACAGCAUCAACAGGGCUGAAGCUGGCCGAGGUCCAGUGCAUCGUCAUUCUGGAUGUGGACUACGAUUUUCUGUGAAGUUUCUUUUCAGCCGCCGCCAUCAUCUGGAUUCUGGAGCUGCCGCCGUUCAUCAUCAGGUUCUCUGCUGGGGGCGUCAUUUGCCUGCGUAGCAGCUGCAUUUGCGCUGCUGCGGCUGAUUUCCAUGUUGUGUGUUGCAAAUGGAUUUCGCAGCCAGUUCUCGCGUCUGACUUGGAGCAUUAUUGUUUGGAUGGCUGUCAGGCUUCUGUUGCUGUUUGGAUUGUGUUCUUCUAUCAUUGCGGCAUACCUCGGCCUGGCCAGCCUUCUUGGAAUGUAUGGGUGCGUUGCAAUCUCACAGGCAAGUAAAUUUGUGUGCUGCAUUAGCCGAGUGUAGUAGUUCCUGCAGAGUCUGUUGUAAACUUCUUCCACAGUUGCUACUUGGAGAUCCGCAUGCAGUGCGUUGUUGCUCACAUACCAGGGAGCAUUCGUCAUUGCUCUGAGAGCUUUGUUUUGGAUCGUCUGGAGCUUGGCCAUUUGCAUGCUUGAAGUCAGUGGCCCCCAGACUGGCAUGGCAUACUGCCAUAUUGGUGCAAUCAGCUGCUUAUAGAGAAGGACCUUUGGAGGUAGUGGGAGUUUGCUGUUUCUGCCGAUGAUC